rnacentral:rRNA from 1 species
UACGGAGGGUGCGAGCGUUGUCCGGAAUCACUGGGCGUAAAGGGCGCGUAGGCGGCCUGAUAAGUAGGGGGUGAAAUCCUGCGGCUUAACCGCAGGGCUGCCUUCUAAACUGUCAGGCUUGAGCACAGUAGAGGCAGGUGGAAUUCCCGGUGUAGUGGUGAAAUGCGUAGAUAUCGGGAGGAACACCAGUGGCGAAGGCGACUUCCUGGCCUGUUCUUGACGCUGAGGCGCGAAAGCUAGGGGAGCAAACGGG